AUUGAACGCUGGCGGCAUGCCUUACACAUGCAAGUCGAACGGCAGCACGGGUGCUUGCACCUGGUGGCGAGUGGCGAACGGGUGAGUAAUACAUCGGAACGUACCUUAUCGUGGGGGAUAACGCAGCGAAAGCUGUGCUAAUACCUCAUACGCCCUGAGGGGGAAAGCGGGGGAUCGCAAGACCUCGCGCGAUUAGAGCGGCCGAUGCCUGAUUAGCUAGUUGGUGGGGUAAAAGCCCACCAAGGCGACGAUCAGUAGCUGGUCUGAGAGGACGAUCAGCCACACUGGGACUGAGACACGGCCCAGACUCCUACGGGAGGCAGCAGUGGGGAAUUUUGGACAAUGGGGGCAACCCUGAUCCAGCAAUGCCGCGUGGGUGAAGGAGGCCUUCGGGUUGUAAAGCUCUUUUGUCAGGGAAGAAACACCGGCUCUAACACAGUCCGGGAAUGACGGUACCUGAAGAAUAAGCACCGGCUAACUACGUGCCAGCAGCCGCCGUAA
rnacentral:rRNA from 1 species